rnacentral:rRNA from 1 species
CCAGACUCCUACGGGAGGCAGCAGUGGGGGAUAUUGCACAAUGGGGGGAACCCUGAUGCAGCGACGCCGCGUGGGUGAAGAAGGCUUUCGGGUUGUAAACUUCUUUUCUCAGGGACGAAGAAAGUGACGGUACCUGAGGAAUAAGCCCCGGCUAACUACGUGCCAGCAGCCGCGGUAAUACGUAGGGGGCAAGCGUUAUCCGGAAUUACUGGGUGUAAAGGGAGCGUAGACGGCGAUGCAAGCCAGAUGUGAAAGCCCGGGGCUCAACCCCGGGACUGCAUUUGGAACUGUGUGGCUGGAGUGUCGGAGAGGCAGGCGGAAUUCCUAGUGUAGCGGUGAAAUGCGUAGAUAUUAGGAGGAACACCAGUGGCGAAGGCGGCCUGCUGGACGAUGACUGACGUUGAGGCUCGAAAGCGUGGGGAGCAAACAGGAUUAGAUACCCUGGUA